UACGUAGGGGGCAAGCGUUGUUCGGAAUUACUGGGCGUAAAGGGCGCGUAGGCGGCACGGCAAGUCAGGAGUGAAAGCCCGGGGCUCAACCCCGGAACGUCUUUUGAAACUGCCGAGCUAGAGUGCGGAAGAGGCAACUGGAAUUCCCAGUGUAGCGGUGAAAUGCGUAGAUAUUGGGAAGAACACCUGAGGCGAAGGCGGGUUGCUGGGCCGACACUGACGCUGAGGCGACGAAAGCCAGGGGAGCGAACGGG
rnacentral:rRNA from 1 species